CCAAUUUAUGUCCACGGACGUAAAUCGGACAUAUGGACAUAAAUUGGACGUGAAACGUACAUCCAUUGGAUAUCCGGUGCUGUCAUCAGUUGAAUGGUCCCAGAUCGACUUUUGAAAGAUGGAUGUCAUUGAUGGAUCUAAAAGUAUACACCAAUCAUAGCUAAUUUUUACUGAACGACCCUUUUGUGUUUUUUGAACUCAGCCAGUGUGUGAGAUACAAUGCCAUGAUGCUGACGAUGAGACGGUAGGGUAGAUUGGGUAAAUAAAAUCUAUUGUGUCAUAUAUAUAUAUAUAUAUACAAUGCGGGUACGAAUUUAUAAAAAUUAUUUAUAUUACUUGAAAACAAGCGGUACUUGUGUCGUUGUAUUUGGGGGCAUUUGGUUCUUUUAUCAGCUACGACAAAUAUCGCAGAUCGUUCGGUCCGCCGUGAAUACGAAUAUACUCAAGUUGGAAGAAGUGCAUCCACAAUACAUAUACAUCAAUGACCCUCGAUUUAAGGAUAUUUCCAUGUUCCAAACGGAUGAGGAUCUAUAUAAAUCUACACUGCAAAAACCACAAGGCAUUGGUGAUAUUUUAAUGAAAUGGUGGAAAGUGCACAGUCAUAAUUUGGCAUACAAGUUGCUCUAUAUGGCUCAACAUGGGGAUAAGAAUGAACGACAUAAAGCUGUUACUGCUCUUGGUUCUCUAUCCCAUUUAAAAAAUUGGCAGUAUUGUCAUUUGGCCCAAAUGUUAGAUGCUAAAACAGCAGUAGCCCUUGCAAGAAUGCCAAAUGUUAAUUUGCAGUUUUUUCUGCAACCACCAUACUAUCAUAUACAAUAUGAAUUGCAUGAUGUAUUGGAGAAAGUGCAAUCAUUGUUGUUACUUUUGAAUACACUGUGUGACAAAAUGCAUCCUUGCUUGACACAAUUUCUUAGUAAAAAUUUCAAAGACUCAUAUCGAGAUAGUUUCAUCUUUGAUCACGAUUUGACGAGUAUUGGCCUCUCAAUAAGACCAGUGACAAUAUGGGAUAGCGCUUUGCUGAAAAAUUGCAUUCAAGCAAUCUGUCAUCAUUCGUCUUUAGAAGAAUAUAGCAAGUACUUGGUCGACGCCGGGGUUUUGCCAAUACUGACCGCGAUACAAAAGAUCUGCAAGGAUGAUACAGAAGUAUGUGUAUUGCUCGCAAGAAUAAUAUCCAACGUGUCUCUUCAUUCGGAAUAUUUAGAAAAUAUCUUUGAAUCCGGAUGGAUCGGCAUAUUGUCACGUUGGUCACGUAGCGACGAUAUUCGUUUAUCGGCGCAGGCUCAUCGUGCAUUAGCAAACUUAGAUGCAGAAGGAAACGAAGGGGCGAAGUAUCCACGGCGUAUUUAUCUUCUUCAUCCUCUGCACAGAACUCAUGCAACCAUAAAGAUGGAUGUUGUAUUUCUGCAUGGAUUGCUAGGUGGAGUUUUCGUUACCUGGAGACAACGUGACACGGAUAUCUCUACACUCAGAGAUAUUGCAGACGGCGAUAUUCCGAGUCAAACUUACUUGUCCACUAUGAUCGAAGAUGAUCGUCCUCAAGAAUUUUUCAAAGAUUUAGCUCGCGAUCUGCAACUGCGCGAGUGGAAGAAGAUGGGCCAGGAUUUCGAAGUGGUAUUGGAAGACUGUCCGCAAAAUGCAAAUUGCGAUGCCUGCGGACUUUACUUUUGCGGAGGAGACGAUCCCUGUAUGAGAAACGGCUCGGAAUCUGCAUCUAAAACGCAAUGCUGGCCCAAAGACUGGUUGCCUACAGACAUACCGUCGUUACGAAUUAUUGGCGUCAACUACGACACAAGCUUAUCUAUGUGGGCACCUUUCUGCCCAAUAGAAAGCACGAAGAGCACUAUUAAAGAGAGAAGUCAAGAAUAUAUUAAUAAAUUGUUGAUGGCAAAUGUGGGGCAACGACCUCUUGUAUGGGUCAGUCAUUCAAUGGGUGGAUUGUUGGUUAAAAAGAUGCUUGUAGAAGAGUGGAAAGCUGGGGAUAAGAAUGGUAUAUGUAAGAAUACCAGGGCUAUCGUAUUUUAUAGUACUCCUCAUCGAGGUUCUCGUGUAGCGGCUUUAAAACAGACGAUGCAAAUGUUGAUAUGGCCGACGGUGGAGGUUCAAGAAUUACGCGAAGAAUCGCCGCAAUUAUUACGGCUACACGAAGAGUUCCUGGAAAUGCUAAAAGAAUAUCACAUAGAGAUUGUGAGUUUCGCCGAAACCAAAUCUACACUGGUAACUGCGCUCAAGUUCCCCUUCCAAUUUGUCAGUCUUGAUUCAGCAGAUCCUGGAGUGGGAGAGUUUUUUGAGAUUCCGCAGGAUCAUAUAUCGAUAUGUAAACCAGCUAGCAGGCAAUCCUUCUUGUACCAAAAACUCUUGAGCGUGCUCAGACGACAGUUUAAUUCUCAGGAAGAAGGGAAAAUACUUUCGUCUGUUAGAUACUUGCUAUCUUUGCCAAGUAAAUUACUUUAGACCUAUUUAAUGUAUCGCAAAGUUUUAUAUAUUUUUGUACGCACAACCGAGCGAAUGUUUGACUGAUUGUAAAAAGAGAAAAAGAAAAAGAUUUGACAGAUGACAAUCUUACAAAUAAUUUAGUCCAUUCGUUCGGUCCCGCCGCAUUUCACCGCGUUUCCAUUUCAGACAGACAAGAGGAGUCAUUUUAUUGCGCCUGUUGUGUAAUCGUAAUUCCCACUUGAUUCGAUUUUUUUCACAGUCGUAAUUGUACAAAUAUAUCGUGAUGUCGAAUAGACUUCAGUCACAAAGUAACUGAGUGACAAAUGCAAACACAGAGAAACGUACGUACGUCGUAAUGCAUCAUUAUGCAUAAAGUGUAUGAAAAAUCAAAUUGAGUACACAAAAUAAGAAAUACACGAAAUUUAGAACGCUAUGUAUUCUACUUGAAAAACGCGGGUGAUUAAAAGGUGACUUCGUGCCGAGAACG
rnacentral:misc_RNA from 1 species